UAUUCUCCUCUAUUAAUAAAAAAAAAAAUUAUCAAAUUUGGUUAACUCUACAGGGCAGGAUCAUUAUUCCCGUAAACCGUGUUUUUGAGGUCAAAAUCACAUAGGCAUCGGGCGCCUUAAAGAAUGGAUAGGCCAUUUACGGGAACGAACAUGAACAUUUGUUGAGAUUAUAGAGGUCUUAUCACAAAUAGAUAUAUGUAUAAUUAUUGUAUAUCAUUUAUGAUAAGACCUCUGUCAGAAUGAGAAGCAAUGAUAAAAAACAGUCUUUCUCUCUUCCCCAUUCCGGCACACUACUCUUUAUUUUAUUAAUAUAGCUAUUAAAUGGCCUAUCCAUUCUUUAAUAUCUAUGCAUUAUUGUUGCUUACGACGUUUUACAUGUUUUCCCGCGCAUUUAUCUGAUAACGUUAUUGGUGAUUACGACUAAAAGUCUAAAACGGAUUUUUGAUUUCUUAAUAAUUAUAAUUAUUCUUUUUACUAUUUUUAUAACUAGUUUGAAUGUUUCCAUCUCGCGUCUGUUAUUUUAAUUGAAAUUUGAAUUAUGACGUCCAGAAGUCGAGCAAAUAAAUUAAUCGCCGCUGCUACCAAGCAAUGCAAUAAUGAUGUUGUAAGUAGUGUCAACUCUAUAAUAUUACCUAAUUCAGAAAAUGUUCGUUUGACAAAUGUUUUGUUUAGUCAAAUUAUGAAAGAUAAGAGUUCUGAUGAAUGUAAUACAGAUUUUAAAAACAAUACUGUUGUGGUAGAUAAUAAUAUUUAUGAAGAAAUAAUCAAGAGGGGAAAAAAAAAGAAGAAGGUUAACAUACGUGCAACUAAACUACAAAAAUUAAAUGGUGUAGGUAAAUUUGUUAAAACAAAUUCAUGUAUAACUAAAAAAAAAUGUCAAUUCAAAUGUUAUGAAAAAUUUUCUGAAAAUGAUAGACAAAUUAUGUUUGAUAAUUUUUGGAAACUUGGAAAUAAGUCAAGACAACGUGACUUUUUAAUUCAAUGUGCUAUAAAAGGAAGUGUUAAAAGAAUAAGAACCAAAAUCAUCAGUAGACGUUCCAACACCUACAGCUAUUUUUUGUCAUACAUGGGUGAAAAAUAUCAAGUUUGUCAGCAGUAUUUAUUAACGAUGUUAGAUAUAAAACAAAAAUUUUUGCUUUAUACUAUUAAGAAUUCUUCACCAGUUGCUACAGCACUCAGUGAUGGUCGUGGAAAAGUAAUUCCCAAGAAUAAAAUAAAUGAAAUAACAGUUUCUAAACUUCAUGAAUUUAUUAAAAAUCUACCUGCUGUUCCUUCACAUUAUUGCCGAGCAUCGACAACCAAAAAAUACUUACCAGCAGAGUUUAUGAAUAUUCUUCGACUUUAUGCCAUUUAUAAAGAUUAUUGCAAAACAAAUAAUGAUAUACCUGUUUCUAAAUUUUUUUUUAGAAAAGUAUUCACAGAAGAAUAUAAUAUAGGUUUUCAUUUACCUAAAAAGGAUAAAUGGCGUACAUGUUCUAAAUUUGAUAAUAUUAUUAAUUUGAAUGGAGAUAGUUCACAAGAUGAAUCAAUCAUAAAUCAUCAAAAACAUAUAAAUGACAAAGAAGACUGUAAAGCUAUGUUUCUAAAAUAUAAAAAACCAUUAGACAAUACUAUGUCAUUAUGUGUCAGCUUCGACUUACAAAAAGUUUUAAAUACUCCCAAGGGUGAUAAUAUGAACUUAUAUUAUAGUCGGAAAUUUAGUACCUAUAAUUUAACCAUUUAUGAAAGUAGAAACCAAAAUGCUUUUUGUUAUUUGUGGGGUGAGACAAUAGGUAAUAGAGGUUGCAAUGAAAUAGUUUCAUGCAUUUAUAAUUAUUUAAAUAGUGUUGACCAACGCCAAUCUAUAACAUCUAUUGCAUUAUUUUGUGACUCAUGUGCAGGCCAAAAUAAGAAUAAAGCAAUGUUUGCAAUGAUUAUGUAUGUCCUUAAGUUUGAAUUAAAAUGUAUAACUGAAAUUAAGUUGACAUUUCUACUACCUGGGCAUACCUAUAUGCCAGUAGAUAGCAUCCAUGCUACUAUUGAACUGUUCAUUAAAAAAACUACUGUAUGGACACCUAGUGAAUGGCCACCAAUAAUAAGGAAUGCUUGAACAAAUCCCAGACCUUUAGAAGUAAUUGAAUUAAAAUCAACAGAUUUUUUGGAUUGGAAACAGUUUUCUACUACAUUUUUCCCUAACAUUCUAAUAACAGAAACUGGUGAAAGAGUAAUGAACUCUAAAUUGAGGUCAUAAUUAUUCAUAAAAAAAGAUGAAGAUGUAGAUAUAAUGAUUUUUGAAUCUUAUAAAUUUGAAGAAUGUCCCAAAAAACUACAUGUCAUCAAAAAAAGAGGGAGAUUUGCACAAACACCAACAUUGCCAAACAAAUGCUAUGAAAGAAAAUUACCCAUUUCAUCUGCCAAAUUCAAAGAUUUGUCAGAUUUGUGCAAGAAUGGUAUCAUCCCAGAAAAAUUUCAUGCAGAGUACUAUGAUAUGAAUUCUAGUGAGACAAUUAGAGACUGUCUUGACGAGUCUGAUAUUGAAGAUUCUGAUGUUUCUGAUGACUAUUAGUAAUUAUUAUAAAUAUUAUGUUUCAAGAUAAUUUUAAUUGGUCUAAUUUUUUUAUUGUUACUUAAAGGAUCAUUUUUUACUUAUUUACUAGUCAAGAAGACUGAACAUUAACUGCAUAAUAUGCAAUAUUAAAAUAUUAUUAUUAUUAAGUUUUUAUAUUAUACAGUUGAUUCAUUUUAUUUUAUUUUAUUUUAAACGCAGAGGUGUUUUUAGUUUUUAACUAUAGACUAUUAUGUUAUUUUGUUAUUAAUACAAUAUUAUUAUUUUUAGGAUAAUUUUUUACUUAUUUAGUAGUCAAGAAGACUGAACAUUAACUACAUAAUAUGCAAUAUUAAAAUAUUAUUAUUAUUAAGUUUUUAUAUUAUACAGUUGA
rnacentral:misc_RNA from 1 species